CAAUAGCGUAUAUUAAAGUUGUUGCAGUUAAAAAGCUCGUAGUUGAAGAUAUGGGUUUGAACACUGAACCACAGCGUUCGGUGUCCUCGCCCGUUUUUCGCAAAGACGCCAUGCCAUAUUAAUUUGUGGCUUGGUUGAGUUGCGUCGUUUACUGUGAACAAAUUAGGGUGUUUAAAGCAGGCCUUUGUUUGAAUACACUAGCAUGGAAUAAUAAGAUAUGAUCUUGGUCGUAUUUUGUUGGUGACCACCAAGGUAAUGAUUGAAAGAAACAGUUGUGGGUAUUCGUAUGAGCAUGUCAGAGGUGAAAUUCUUGGAUUUUGAUCAGACGAACUACUGCGAAAGCAUUUACCAAGGAUGUUUNCAUUAA
rnacentral:rRNA from 1 species